rnacentral:rRNA from 1 species
GCUGGCGGCGUGCUUAACACAUGCAAGUCGAACGCGCAGCGAUCUGUAGCAAUACAGGUUGUGGGCGCGUGGCGAACGGGUGCGUAACACGUGGAUAACCUUCCUUCAGGUGGGGAAUAACCCAGUGAAAAUUGGGCUAAUACCGCAUAACAAAACGAUGGGACAUCUCAUUGUUUUCAAAGGCGCAAGUCGCCAGAAGAGGGAUCCGCGGCCGAUUAGCUUGUUGGCGGGGUAAUGGCCCACCAAGGCAAUGAUCGGUAGCCGGACUGAGAGGUUGGCCGGCCACACUGGAACUGAGACACGGUCCAGACUCCUACGGGAGGCAGCAGUGGGGAAUCUUGCACAAUGGGCGAAAGCCUGAUGCAGCAACGCCGCGUGGGGGAUGAAGCUUCUCGGAGUGUAAACCCCUUUCGACCCGGAAGAAAGCCCGCAAGGGUUUGACGGUACGGGUAUAAGAAGCCCCGGCUAACUACGUGCCAUCAGCCGCGGUAAAACGUAGGGGGCCAGCGUUGCUCGGAAUUACUGG